GAUGAACGCUGGCGGCGUGCCUAAUACAUGCAAGUCGAGCGAACGGACGAGAAGCUUGCUUCUCUGAUGUUAGCGGCGGACGGGUGAGUAACACGUGGAUAACCUACCUAUAAGACUGGGAUAACUUCGGGAAACCGGAGCUAAUACCGGAUAAUAUUUUGAACCGCAUGGUUCAAAAGUGAAAGACGGUCUUGCUGUCACUUAUAGAUGGAUCCGCGCUGCAUUAGCUAGUUGGUAAGGUAACGGCUUACCAAGGCAACGAUGCAUAGUCGACCUGAGAGGGUGAUCGGCCACACUGGAACUGAGACACGGUCCAGACUCCUACGGGAGGCAGCAGUAGGGAAUCUUCCGCAAUGGGCGAAAGCCUGACGGAGCAACGCCGCGUGAGCGAUGAAGGUCUUCGGAUCGUAAAACUCUGUUAUUAGGGAAGAACAUAUGUGUAAGUAACUGUGCACAUCUUGACGGUACCUAAUCAGAAAGCCACGGCUAACUACGUG
rnacentral:rRNA from 1 species